rnacentral:rRNA from 1 species
GACAGGAGGGUGCAAACGUUGUUCGGAAUUACUGGGCGUAAAGCGCGUGUAGGCGGCGGUGCAAGUCGGGUGUGAAAGCCCUGGGCUCAACCCAGGAAGUGCAUUCGAUACUGCGCCGCUAGAGUCCCGGAGAGGAUGGUGGAACUCUCGGUGUAGAGGUGAAAUUCGUAGAUAUCGAGAAGAACACCGGUGGCGAAGGCGGCCAUCUGGACGGUGACUGACGCUGAGACGCGAAAGCGUGGGGAGCAAACAGG